rnacentral:rRNA from 1 species
CAGGGAUUGCCUCAGUAACGGCGAGUGAAGCGGCAAAAGCUCAAAUUUGAAAUCUAGCACCUUCGGUGUUCGAGUUGUAAUUUGAAGAUGGUAACCUUGGGUUUGGCUCUUGUCUAUGUUCCUUGGAACAGGACGUCAUAGAGGGUGAGAAUCCCGUCUGAUGAGAUGCCCAUUCCUAUGUAAGGUGCUAUCGAAGAGUCGAGUUGUUUGGGAAUGCAGCUCUAAGUGGGUGGUAAAUUCCAUCUAAAGCUAAAUAUUGGCGAGAGACCGAUAGCGAACAAGUACAGUGAUGGAAAGAUGAAAAGAACUUUGAAAAGAGAGUGAAAAAGUACGUGAAAUUGUUGAAAGGGAAGGGCAUUAGAUCAGACUUGGUGUUUUACGAUUAUCUUCUCUUCUUGAGUUGUGCACUCGUAUUUCACUGGGCCAGCAUCGAUUCGGAUGGCAAGAUAAUGGCAGUUGAAUGUGGCUUCACUUCGGUGGAGUGUUAUAGCUUCUGCUGAUAUUGCCUGUCUGGAUCGAGGGCUGC